UCUGCCGUAGCUCAGAGGUAGAGCCCCGACCGGUAAUUGGUACUUGGCGGGUUCGAUUCCCGUUCGCGGAC
rnacentral:tRNA from 1 species